CCCUUAGAUGUCCUGGGCCGCACGCGCGUUACACUGAUGCAUUCAACGAGCUUAUAACCUUGGCCGAGAGGCCUGGGCAAUCUUGUUAACGUGCAUCGUGAUAGGGAUAGAUUAUUGAAAUUAUUAAUCUUGAACGAGGAAUUCCUAGUAAACGCAGAUCAUCAAUCUGCAUUGAUUACGUCCCUGCCCUUUGUACACACCGCCCGUCGCACCUACCGAUUGGAUGGUCCGGUGAAGCCUCGGAUUGUGGUUCUUGCCGCUUUAUUGUGGCGUGACCGCGAGAACUUGUCUAAACCUUAUCAUCUAGAGGAAGGUGAAGUCGUAACA
rnacentral:rRNA from 1 species